rnacentral:rRNA from 1 species
CCUACGGGUGGCAGCAGUGGGGAAUAUUGCACAAUGGGGGAAACCCUGAUGCAGCGACGCCGCGUGAGUGAAGAAGUAUUUCGGUUUGUAAAGCUCUAUUAGCAGGGAAGAAAAUGACGGUAUCUGAUUAAGAAGCCCCGGCUAACUACGUGCCAUCAGCCGCGGUAAUACGUAGUGGGCAAGCGUUAGCCGGAUUUAAUGGGCGUAAAGGUGUCGUAGACGGCAGCACAAGUCGGGAGUGAAAUGCCGGGGCUUAACCCCGGAACUGCAUUGGAAACUGUGCAGCUAGAGUGCAGGAGAGGUAAGUGGAAUUCCGAGUGUAGCGGUGAAAUGCGUAGAUAUUAGGAGGAACACCAGUGGCGAAGGCGGCUUACUGGACUGUAACUGACGUUGAGGCUCGAAAGCGUGGGGAGCAAACAGGAUUAGAUACCCUGGUAGUC